GACGAACGCUGGCGGCGUGCUUAACACAUGCAAGUCGAACGGAAAGGCCCUGCUUUUGUGGGGUGCUCGAGUGGCGAACGGGUGAGUAACACGUGAGUAACCUGCCCUUGACUUUGGGAUAACUUCAGGAAACUGGGGCUAAUACCGGAUAGGAGCUCCUGCUGCAUGGUGGGGGUUGGAAAGUUUCGGCGGUUGGGGAUGGACUCGCGGCUUAUCAGCUUGUUGGUGGAGUAGUGGCUUACCAAGGCUUUGACGGGUAGCCGGCCUGAGAGGGUGACCGGCCACAUUGGGACUAAGAUACGGCCCAGACUCCUACGGGAGGCAGCAGUGGGGAAUAUUGCACAAUGGGCGGAAGCCUGAUGCAGCAACGCCGCGUGCGGGAUGACGGCCUUCGGGUUGUAAACCGCUUUCGCCUGUGACGAAGCGUGAGUGACGGUAAUGGGUAAAGAAGCACCGGCUAACUACGUG
rnacentral:rRNA from 1 species